rnacentral:lncRNA from 1 species
AGCGCUAACACAAAAACAGACUUAGCUUUAUCUCCGUAUAGCUUGCAAUGUAGCCACAAAUAUGUUUCAAAAAUACAGCUUUGGAGGACUUGUAGCUCGUUAAAUAUAGUCUCUAUGAAUUUAACUUGAUUUUGUGCUUAGGGCGGAAUAAAAAUUUCGCAAUAAAAGUCAAGUCUUUGGCGAAAAUUGACGACGGUGUUGCAAAGAUUUGGACGGAUCACCGAUCACGUUCUAACACGAUGCCGUCGUUUGAAGUUAUACAACAAGUGGAGCUGUAUUUGCGCAAAAGGAAGUAUCUCCCCAACGCUACCGCACAAAUGAAAAAGGCGGUCAGGAAGGCCAAGCCAGUCUACGUUUAUAAAGGUUUGUGUUUCUCAUCAAAUUGACCACUCUUCAGAGAUCGACAGGCGGGAUAACCACUCUGCCGCUUGUGUUGCAGGUGGGCAGCUGUUGCGUAAGUACAGGGGCGCUACGUACGGGCCGUUUCGAGCCACGAGCAGGUGCGUGAGAUCCUGCUGCAGUUCCACGACAACAACAACCACGCGGGGAGAAUACAGAUGGUCCAGGAGAUCAUGGCCGUGUAUUACUGGGAGCGCAUGAGGGACUUUGUGGAGGAGUGGAUUAAGAAAUGUGACGUGUGCAAGACCCGUAAAGAGCAACAGGCUUCGAAGAUCGUCAAAUCCUGUUUGGCUUACGGUUGUGACGCCUCCAGCUUCUGCCACCCAGAGCUCAGCUUCCACAGGUUUCCUAAGCCCCCGGAGCCGAGGCAGCGCUGGCUGGCGGUCGCUCAGAGAGACGAGGACUCAAUUAGGAAAAAUUCCUGGCUCUGCUCCAAACACUUUGAACCCGACUGUUUCGUUCAGACGGAGGACGGGCAGGAGCUGCAGCCGGACGCUGUGCCCACCAUCAUCGGAGUCUCCAGACAACAGGCCGAGUCCCAGCCCUCAGAGUCUGAAGAUCUCCUGUUCCACAGCUCUUCUCUGGAGGGCCUGCUGACAUGCGCCGCUGCCGCAGCAGAGGAGGGCUUCAGCACGCAGCCGAGUCACUCUCCCCUUGAGGAGCAUCAGUACAGCCUGAGAGCACCCGACCCACACCCCCCCGACACGACCGGCCUCCUGAGCCAAAGGAACAGCUGCUUCACCACCUACAACCAGAUCGCCAGGUAUCUGACCCACAGGAUCCUGCCUUACUCCAACAAAACCAAGAAUUAUGUGUGGAGUAUGGCCAAGCGCUUCACUUUCGUUGGUUAGUCUUCAUCACUUCAUCACAGACAUGAACUCAAGAGUAAUGAGUUACUCUCUAAACCAGGGGGG